AACCCUUAUGUGACCGUACCUAUCGUUGCUUCGGCGGGAACGCCCCGGCGCCCUGCGCCCGGAUCCAGGCGCCCGCCGGAGACCCCAAACUCUUGUGUUUUUUUCAGUAUUCUCUGAGUGGCAAACGCAAAAAUAAAUCAAAACUUUUAACAACGGAUCUCUUGGCUCUGGCAUCGAUGAAGAACGCAGCGAAAUGCGAUAAGUAAUGUGAAUUGCAGAAUUCAGUGAAUCAUCGAAUCUUUGAACGCACAUUGCGCCCGUUAGCAUUCUAGCGGGCAUGCCUGUCCGAGCGUCAUUUCAACCCUCAGGGUCCCCGUUCCGGCGGGGAACCUGGUGUUGGGGAUCGGCCCGCCCCGCGCGGCGCCGUCCCCCAAAUUCAGUGGCGGUCUCGCUGCAGCCUCCCCUGCGUAGUAGUUACAACCUCGCAUCGGAGCUCAGCGCGGCCACGCCGUAAAACCCCCGACUUUCUGAACGUUGACCUCGGAUCAGGUAGGAAUACCCGCUGAACUUAAGCAUAUCAAUAAGCGGAGGA
rnacentral:rRNA from 1 species